rnacentral:rRNA from 1 species
GACGUAGGGGGCGAGCGUUGUCCGGAUUCAUUGGGCGUAAAGCGCGCGCAGGCGGCUCGGAAAGUCGGGUGUGAAAAUCCGGGGCUCAACCCCGGACGUGCAUCCGAUACUCCCGAGCUAGAGGCAGGUAGGGGAGAGUGGAAUUCCCGGUGUAGCGGUGAAAUGCGUAGAUAUCAGGAGGAACACCGGUGGUGUAGACGGCUUUCUGGACCGUAACUGACGCUGAGACACGAAAGCGUGGGUAGCAAACAGG